rnacentral:tRNA from 11 species
GGUAAGACGCCAGGCUCAUAACCCGAAGGUCACAGGUUCGAG